GAGACAUUUCAUGCUCAAGAGUGAGAGGGGAUUUAAGGACCAAAAUCUAAUCUACUGUAGAGUACAAUGAUGAAAUAUCAGUGUAAUAUCUACUGAAGAGCUUGGGAAACCUCAAUACAAAAGAUGAGAGGGGUGGAAGAAUGACUGCAGAGAGAUGAGGGAGGUGGGAAGUCAAUUGGAGGCCAAGAGAAUAGGAGAAGAAAAGGAGGAGGAGGCAAGUGAGAGGAGAGGAGCCCUGCAACAAGGUGGCAACCUGUCCAGGGUGUACCCUCACGUCCUAUGGUAGCUGGGAUCGGCUCCAGCACACCCGCGACCCUGAAUUUGAUAAGAGGAGGAAAACAUGGGCAUUUCCUGUCUCAUUUAAGUUUGCAACAGCUUACAGGAUCAGCUCUCAGGAUGAUGCUGGACUCUUUUCAAAAUGUUAUUGGAAUGUCUUUGCUGCAACGAUGGAGCUGCAUUAUGAAGGUCCACUAUCUGCAGAAGAAGGAAUCAGACACCUCUUACAAAUAUAUCAAAUUUAACUUCACAGCAUACGCACUAAAAUACACAACAUUUCUAUUGCAAACGGAUGACCAUACACUUGUAAAUUAGCAAUAAGAUAUUUCCCAUCAUUCUAGGAAAUCCUGUAAAAACCUUAACAGGUCACCUGAGAAACAUGAAGUUUUUACAAUCUUCAGUCAUUAACUGGAGACAACCCAGUAAUGUCUGAGGUCUAAUUCUGGGCAGGAAUCUUUGUUAUAAUUUUUGCACACAAAAGAUUCAUUUUGUGUUUGUUUAUUUGCACAUGACUCUUAUUUUGCUUCUAUGACCAUUUAAUGAAUAAAUGACAUGAAUAAAAGAGGAAAGUGAAACCUA
ensembl:lncRNA